UAGGGAAUCUUCGGCAAUGGACGGAAGUCUGACCGAGCAACGCCGCGUGAGUGAAGAAGGUUUUCGGAUCGUAAAGCUCUGUUGUAAGAGAAGAACGAGUGUGAGAGUGGAAAGUUCACACUGUGACGGUAUCUUACCAGAAAGGGACGGCUAACUACGUGCCAGCAGCCGCGGUAAUACGUAGGUCCCGAGCGUUGUCCGGAUUUAUUGGGCGUAAAGCGAGCGCAGGCGGUUAGAUAAGUUUGAAGUUAAAGGCUGUGGCUUAACCAUAGUAGGCUUUGGAAACUGUUUAACUUGAGUGCAAGAGGGGAGAGUGGAAUUCCAUGUGUAGCGGUGAAAUGCGUAGAUAUAUGGAGGAACACCGGUGGCGAAAGCGGCUCUCUGGCUUGUAACUGACGCUGAGGUGAGGCUCGAAAGCGUGGGGAGCAAACAGGAUUAGAUACCCUGGUAGUCCACGCUGUAAACGAUGAGUGCUAGGUGUUAGACCCUUUCCGGGGUUUAGUGCCGUAGCUAACGCAUUAAGCACUCCGCCUGGGGAGUACGACCGCAAGGUUG
rnacentral:rRNA from 1 species